ACGGAGGAUGCGAGCGUUAUCCGGAUUUAUUGGGUUUAAAGGGUGCGUAGGCGGAACAAUAAGUCAGUGGUGAAAUUCUGCAGCUUAACUGUAGACUUGCCGUUGAAACUGUUUGACUUGAGUAUGGUCAAGGCAGACGGAAUGUGCAAUGUAGAGGUGAAAUGCUUAGAUAUUGCGCAGAACACCGAUUGCGAAGGCAGCUUGCUGGGCCAUUACUGACGCUGAGGCGUGAAAGCGUGGGGAUCGAACAG
rnacentral:rRNA from 1 species